rnacentral:rRNA from 1 species
UACGAAGGGGGCUAGCGUUGCUCGGAAUGACUGGGCGUAAAGGGCGCGUAGGCGGAUUGUACAGUCAGGCGUGAAAUUCCCGGGCUCAACCUGGGGGCUGCGCUUGAGACGUGCGAUCUUGAGUGGGGAAGAGGGUCGUGGAAUUCCCAGUGUAGAGGUGAAAUUCGUAGAUAUUGGGAAGAACACCGGUGGCGAAGGCGGCGACCUGGUCCUUUUACUGACGCUGAGGCGUGAAAGCGUGGGGAGCAAACAGG